ACGCUCGACACCUACGGAGGCAGCAGUGGGGAAGUAUUGCACAAUGGGGGAAACCCGUGAUGCAGCGACGCCGCGUGAAGGAAGAAGUAUCUCGGUAUGUAAACUUCUAUCAGCAGGGAAGAAAAUGACGGUACCUGACUAAGAAGCCCCGGCUAACUACGUGCCACAGCCGCGGUAAUCUGAGCGGGCUGCAAGGC
rnacentral:rRNA from 1 species